GCCAAGCGGUGCCAUGUCCGCACCCGGGAUCCGAACUGGCGAACCCUCGGCCACUGAGAAGUGAAACAUGCGAACUUAACCACUGCACCACCAGGCUGGGCCCUCGAGAGACCUUUGAAUUCUUUCCCAGCUCAAGACCUAGAGUUUGAAGUUCAAGGCCUCAAGGAAUGGUAAUAUGUGCAAAUUCAAGUUAGAGGUCUUCGCCUCAGAGCCUGGAAAGCAGCUGUUUCUAAACAACUCAAUUACAUGUGCUCAAAAUCUGGAAACCUACCACAGAGCUGGGAACUCCGGAGAGGCUC